GACGAACGCUGGCGGCGUGCUUAACACAUGCAAGUCGAACGGAAAGGCCCUGCUUUUGUGGGGUGCUCGAGUGGCGAACGGGUGAGUAACACGUGAGUAACCUGCCCUUGACUUUGGGAUAACUUCAGGAAACUGGGGCUAAUACCGGAUAGGAGCUCCUGCUGCAUGGUGGGGGUUGGAAAGUUUCGGCGGUUGGGGAUGGACUCGCGGCUUAUCAGCUUGUUGGUGGGGUAGUGGCUUACCAAGGCUUUGACGGGUAGCCGGCCUGUGAGGGUGACCGGCCACAUUGGGACUGAGAUACGGCCCAGACUCCUACGGGAGGCAGCAGUGGGGAAUAUUGCACAAUGGGCGGAAGCCUGAUGCAGCAACGCCGCGGGCGGGAUGACGGCCUUCGGGUUGUAAACCGCUUUCGCCUGUGACGAAGCGUGAGUGACGGUAAUGGGUAAAGAAGCACCGGCUAACUACGUG
rnacentral:rRNA from 1 species